AAGGCGAAACCGUGUAUAACAACAAUGAGCUCUUUAGCAGAUUAGAUAGCAUUAUCCCAUAACUCCUCCGGUACAGCGGUCAACUCAAACAAUACAUUAAAUCCGACAAAAAAGAAGCGAGAAGUUAAGUCCAAGCUGUUUAAAUAUAUGGCACUUUCUCUUUAAAAUCUUUCAUUAGCAAGUGUUUUGAAAGUUAGCCAUUGUGACUCACUCCCAGGGCAAUAUACAGAAGAAUGGUACCUAUAAAGCUGGUAGGCAAACCGGCAGUGAGGACACAGAGGAAUACACUGCUAGAGAGUACACAAGUUUGAGCACUGUUAAAAACACUGUAAGCAUUAUGAUCUUCAGGCUAAACACAGCGUUUCUAUUAGUGGCGUUCUUGCUACUCUCAACCGCCAGUAGUCAAAGAGCUGACCAAAAAAACAGAGAAGAUACCUCUUCUAGAUAUUGUGGGCGCUUUGGCUGUAUUGGUGGAAAGCGGAGUGAAGGGAGCAGAGCUAAGAAUAUUAUGAUCCCGCCUUACGGAGAAGUCGAUGGGGCAGAGGAGUAUUUUUAAAACCACAUCUCAGAGGAAGGGCGGCCGGAGCCAGAAACAAGGAGCCAGCGUUAUCGGUUUUACACUCUCACAGACAGUUCGGGAAUGAACAAUCAGUAGCUCUUGGCUACGUAGGCUGAUGAAAUAAAAAUAAAUGAUGGAUUGAAA